rnacentral:rRNA from 1 species
CCUACGGGUGGCAGCAGUGAGGAAUAUUGGUCAAUGGACGAGAGUCUGAACCAGCCAAGUAGCGUGAAGGAUGACUGCCCUAUGGGUUGUAAACUUCUUUUAUAUGGGAAUAAAACGUUCCACGUGUGGGAUUUUGUAUGUACCAUAUGAAUAAGGAUCGGCUAACUCCGUGCCAGCAGCCGCGGUAAUACGGAGGAUCCGAGCGUUAUCCGGAUUUAUUGGGUUUAAAGGGAGCGUAGGUGGAUUGUUAAGUCAGUUGUGAAAGUUUGCGGCUCAACCGUAAAAUUGCAGUUGAAACUGGCAGUCUUGAGUACAGUAGAGGUGAGCGGAAUUCGUGGUGUAGCGGUGAAAUGCUUAGAUAUCACGAAGAACUCCAAUUGCGAAGGCAGUUCACUGGACUGCAACUGACACUGAGGCUCGAAAGUGUGGGUAUCAAACAGGAUUAGAUACCCCAGUAGUC